rnacentral:lncRNA from 1 species
GGGGGCUGCACUGCACAGAAAACGGAAACUUAGAUUUUUCAUGAGGAAAUGAAACUAAAACCUGCAGAUUAACUAGGAAGGACUGGGAGAAAUUUCAGCCACUGCUGCACAACAGAACCUCUUCAGCACUGGUUUGUCUGGGUUGAUGUUUGCUUUUAAAGCUCUGUCCUGCAUUAACAUGACAUCCACACUGUAAGUAUUCCUCUCUUCUGUUCAUUUAUCAUGUUUUAGUUGUGACUUGCUCAGGGUCAUAGACUGUGUUUAGCUGGACAGAGCAUUGUCUCUCAAAAGUGAAGCCACCACAGGUUUGUCGCCCCCUGCUGUUCGGUUUCAGAAAGCUCUGUAACCCCACCCAUCCCCAUAGGUUUCAAUAGCAAAACAGACAACUUU